UACGUAGGGCGCAAGCGUUGUCCGGAAUUAUUGGGCGUAAAGAGCUCGUAGGCGGUCUGUCACGUCGGAUGUGAAAGCCCGGGGCUUAACCCCGGGUCUGCAUUCGAUACGGGCAGACUAGAGUGUGGUAGGGGAGAUCGAAUUCCUGGUGUAGCGGUGAAAUGCGUAGAUAUCGGGAGGAACAUCAGUGGCGAAGGCGGCCUUCUGGUCCAGUACUGACACUCAAGUGCGAAAGCGUGGGGAGCAAACAGGG
rnacentral:rRNA from 1 species